rnacentral:rRNA from 2 species
UGGCGGCAGGCCUAACACAUGCAAGUCGAACGAACUCUUCGGAGUUAGUGGCGGACGGGUGAGUAACACGUGGGAACGUGCCUUUAGGUUCGGAAUAACUCAGGGAAACUUGUGCUAAUACCGAAUGUGCCCUUCGGGGGAAAGAUUUAUCGCCUUUAGAGCGGCCCGCGUCUGAUUAGCUAGUUGGUGAGGUAAUGGCUCACCAAGGCGACGAUCAGUAGCUGGUCUGAGAGGAUGAUCAGCCACAUUGGGACUGAGACACGGCCCAAACUCC